rnacentral:rRNA from 1 species
AGAUUGAACGCUGGCGGCAGGCCUAACACAUGCAAGUCGAGCGGUAGAGAGGUGCUUGCAUCUCUUGAGAGCGGCGGACGGGUGAGUAAUGCCUAGGAAUCUGCCUAGUGGUGGGGGAUAACGCUCGGAAACGGACGCUAAUACCGCAUACGUCCUACGGGAGAAAGCGGGGGACCUUCGGGCCUCGCGCCAUUAGAUGAGCCUAGGCCGGAUUAGCUAGUUGGUGGGGUAAUGGCCUACCAAGGCGACGACGGGUAGCCGACCUGAGAGGGUGACCGGCCAAGACUGGGACUGGAGACACGGCCCAGACUCCUACGGGAGGCAGCAGUGGGAAUAUGCACAAUGGGCGAAAGCCUGAUGCAGCGACGCCGCGUGAGGGGUGACGGCCUUCGGGUUGUAAACCUCUUUCAGUCAGGGCAAGCGCAAGUGACGGUCCUGCAGAAGAAGCAACCG